rnacentral:rRNA from 1 species
GUGGGGAAUCUUAGACAAUGGGCGCAAGCCUGAUCCAGCCAUGCCGCGUGCAGGAAGACGCAUCUAUGGUGUGUAAACUGCUUUUGUACGGGAAGAAACACUCCCUCGUGAGGGAGCUUGACGGUACCGUAAGAAUAAGGAUCGGCUAACUCCGUGCCAGCAGCCGCGGUAAUACGGAGGAUCCAAGCGUUAUCCGGAAUCAUUGGGUUUAAAGGGUCCGUAGGCGGUUUAAUAAGUCAGUGGUGAAAGCCCAUCGCUCAACGAUGGAACGGCCAUUGAUACUGUUAGACUUGAAUUACAAGGAAGUAACUAGAAUAUGUAGUGUAGCGGUGAAAUGCUUAGAUAUUACAUGGAAUACCAAUUGCGAAGGCAGGUUACUACUUGUGGAUUGACGCUGAUGGACGAAAGCGUGGGGAGCGAACAGGAUUAGAUACCCGGGUAGUCC